rnacentral:lncRNA from 1 species
GCACGGUACAGUUCGGAUGGAGAAAAAGGCCGCGACUUCCGCUGACCUCUUCCAGCGAAGCGGAACCGCACCGCUUGAGUACAGCAAUAUCUUUCUCCAAGGACCCGCAGCACUUAUUGCAGAUAUUGCUGCUCUGUGCUGUUGUUGUGAGCGGGGCGAGUGUGUGAAACGCGUCUCGGCGUCGCCGGCCUCAGCCCGGGGCCCCAGUGUCCCGCGCCGAUCGCUUCCCACGACCACGACUCCAAAUCACCAACGGAAAACUGCAAGGAAAUCCCCUUUCUGCUACAAAGACCCGCCUGUCGUCUCGGACCUCGGGCCGAGGAGCAGAAGCGAAGGAAAGCGCCGGAGGCCUUGGAUCAUCUGCGUCGCUGCUGAGCACACGAUGCUCCACCUUCACGUCAACACAUCUGCAGGUCAGAGGUCAGCGUCAAACGUUUAGCACAGGCUGAGAAACUGGACUACAAUCUACCUGCAACAGUGUCCAUUGCACUUGUAUUGGCAGAGUGGUUAGCGCUGCCCCCUUGCACUCGCUGGUCCUGGGUUCGAGUCCCCCCCCUCCUGCUGUAGUAUAAAGGUAUCUACCUUGAAUUGACAGUGGAAAAAUUGCCCUACUGCAUCAGUGGGUAGAUCAGUGGCAGCAUCUUACUGAGCGCACUUUACACUGUUUCGGAGAAAAGCAUCAAAUGAAUAAGUAAUAAAAACUUUGACGCCACAGCA